AACUGCAUAUUACUUCAUGAUCAGGAAACGGCCAGCAAUGCGAGGCUAGCUCCUAUACGCAGCGAUAAGAAAAAUCUCCGUCGCCGACAAAAGGGGGUACUGGAUCCGGACAAGAUGCUGAAGAUUAUGCCCACCUGGAGAAUAUCAUCCAUGUUCAGCAACAAAUAUGUCCACCAUGAGGUCGAAGGCUAGUGAAAGACCCAAGAACAUUCCAUUAUAAUCUCUGCAGAUCGAUGUUGCUCCCCUCGGUCACCAUUCCUCGAAAAGCCGCCAUCAACAUUAAUCUUUAUGUAACCUUCUUCUGGAGGCCUCCAAGUUGGACAUGAGGUAGCCCCGGCAGUGGGCACAAGACCUGCCUGCCAUGAGUUCUCUCUGUUUUGUGUAUGGUUUUCCGGUGCUCGCUAAAGUUCGUUGCUACAUGGGUUGGCCGACCCAAGCACACCUUUGUGCGAUAGACAGACAAUUUAAACAAUAACGCAUGUGCAACACGCCUAAAGUGGGGCGUGCCUACUCAACGCGUGUUCAGUGUCAGCCAUGCCUGAAGCGGGACCAGCCCAAACGUGCGAAUAACAAUUGCCUCGUCGUUUUUGUCUUUUUAUGUUUGUUUUCAUCAUAUAUUUAUUUACAUUUUUAUACUUCCAAAUAUUGUACACAUAUUUUACAAAAAUAUAAUUUACAUACAAUUUGGAAAAACGUUAAUCAUGCA